rnacentral:lncRNA from 1 species
UCCUGUGGGUGGAGUUUGUGGUUGUGAUGUCACUUGUGGCUCAGUGCCUGAUAGGCCAGUGCUGGUCCUGUGGGUGGAAUUUUUUUUGU